rnacentral:rRNA from 1 species
UGGGGAAUAUUGCACAAUGGGCGCAAGCCUGAUGCAGCCAUGCCGCGUGUAUGAAGAAGGCCUUCGGGUUGUAAAGUACUUUCAGCGGGGAGGAAGGGAGUAAAGUUAAUACCUUUGCUCAUUGACGUUACCCGCAGAAGAAGCACCGGCUAACUCCGUGCCAGCAGCAGCGGUAAUACGGAGGGUGCAAGCGUUAAUCGGAAUUACUGGGCGUAAAGCGCACGCAGGCGGUUUGUUAAGUCAGAUGUGAAAUCCCCGGGCUCAACCUGGGAACUGCAUCUGAUACUGGCAAGCUUGAGUCUCGUAGGGGGGGGUAGAAUUCCAGGUGUAGCAGUGAAAUGCGUAGAGAUCUGGAGGAAUACCGGUGGCGAAGGCGGCCCCCUGGACGAAGACUGACGCUCAGGUGCGAAAGCGUGGGGAGCAAACAGG